rnacentral:rRNA from 1 species
GAUGAACGCUGGCGGCGUGCUUAACACAUGCAAGUCGGACGGAAAGGCCCUGCUUUUGUGGUGUGCUUGAGUGGCGAACGGGUAAGUAACACGUACGUAACCUGCCCUUGACUAUGGGAUCACUUCAGGGAACUUAAGCUAAUACCGGCUAGGAGCUCCUGCUGCGUGUCGGGGGGUGGAGAGUUUCGGCUGUUGUGGAUGGACUCGCGGCUUAUCAGCUUGUUGGUGGGGUAGUGGCUUACCAAGGCUUUGACGGGUAGACGGCCUGAGAGGGUGACCGGCCACAUUGGGACUGAGAUACGGCCCAGACGACUACGGGAGGCAGCAGUGGUGAAUAUUGCACAAUGGGCGGAAGCCUGAUGCAGCAACGCCGCGUGCGGGAUGAAGGCCUUCGGGUUGUAAACCGCUUCCGCCUGUGACGAAGCGUGAGUGACGGUAAUGGGUAAAGAAGCACCGGCUAACUACGUG